UACGUAGGGGGCAAGCGUUGUCCGGAUUUAUUGGGCGUAAAGAGCGUGUAGGCGGUUUGGUAGGUCCGCUGUGAAAACUCGAGGCUCAACCUCGAGACGCCGGUGGAAACCAUCAGACUAGAGUCCGGAAGAGGAGAGUGGAAUUCCUGGUGUAGCGGUGAAAUGCGCAGAUAUUGGGAGGAACACCAGUGGCGAAGGCGGCUCACUGGACCGGAACUGACGCUGAGGCGCGAAAGCGUGGGGAGCAAACGGG
rnacentral:rRNA from 1 species